CCUCAUUCAUAUGUCUGAAAGUUUGUAAAUUGACAAUUCGUAAGUAGAGGAGCAUCUGUAUUGAGAAGUUUGACAGUGUUUUACUUUUUUACAAAGCUUCAUGUCUAAUGUUAAUCUUCAUGUUUACAAGCAUGGCUUCGGGACACAAGUUUGAUGAGAAUAUUUGUAAAAAUGCCCUAUUAACAAGAUGACAAGGACAAGAGGAUUUGUGAAACAUCUGUAAGGAAAAGCUGAAGGAGAAUCUGUUCCGGACCACAUAAAGUCUACAAAAUCAUUCAAACUGAACCCGUGAGACUGAAUCGAUGCUGGAUUUGUGAGAAAGCAGGAAGUCAAUGCCAGUCACUCAAUCCCAACCCUUUCUCCAAGGUGAUGAGCCUGGUGACACCUUAAAUAGAGAAUCACUAGUCCUCCAAGGUCUGCAGCAAUUUCACUUUCUUCCUGUCCAAAAAGGAAGCAUCUCACCAAUCCGCUGGGGCUGCCUGCAAUCAAAUAACAAGCUCUUUCUCCGCCAAGCCAUAUGGGCCAUCCCUCUUGGAGUCUGUGAUGAUGAAGAUGAUUCAAGUGUUGGCAGAGCACUCAAACGUGUGCUGGCAAUGUGACACUCGUAACCAGAGAAGAGAAGUGUAGAGAAGAGAAAAGCGUAGGAGAUUUGGAAAUUUCCAUUUGGACUCUCACCUGUAAUGGCGACGUCCAGAAUACGAGAUAGCAGUGUGUCCUGCCUUGUCGCAACUGAGAUGUUCAAUUUCAUUUUUAUAAUGUCUUUCACAACUGAGUUGCCCCAGUUUGCUUUACAUGAAUGUCUGGUAAUACAUUACUACAUCAUUUACACAGGAUAAUACACAAAACAGGGGAAAAGGGAAUACAGAAAGAAAGAAUGCCAGAGGACAAUGGAGGAGAGGGACCAAAAACUCCCCCCGCUCCUGUGCUAAAAGCAGGGUGUAUAUACCAUGGUCAAGGUUCAAGCCAAAGUCCACCAAUGAGCCGGUUCUGCAUGCUGGCCUGUGUGAAUCGGCAGACUGAAGGCUGCACGCACAAUGUCACAGUGUGUAAGCCAUUUCCACAAUGUUCCACAACAUGCAUAGACACAUUAAUGGACAAGCAGAGUAGAUGAACAAGGCAUGUGCAGCAGCACAUGUACUAACAUAACGAAGGCAUGAGCUGGUUCAUUUUUGGAAAGGUUUAAACCUGACAAUCUCUGAACUUCCAGGACUGAUAGUUUACGAAAUUGCAAUGAAAAAAAUCAUAAUGUAAAUGAUUUUAUUAUAGUAAAACAAAACUUUCCAAUCAUUAAAAACAUUAACCAUAAAGUCAUAAA